rnacentral:rRNA from 1 species
UGGGGAAUCUUGGACAAUGGGCGAAAGCCUGACCCAGCAACGCCGCGUGAGUGACGAAGGCCUUAGGGUUGUAAAACUCUUUCGUCGGGGACGAUAAUGACGGUACCCGAAGAAGAAGCUCCGGCUAACUUCGUGCCAGCAGCCGCGGUAAUACGAAGGGAGCUAGCGUUGUUCGGAAUCACUGGGCGUAAAGCGCACGUAGGCGGAUAGUUAAGUCAGGGGUGAAAUCCUGGGGCUCAACCCCAGAACUGCCUUUGAUACUGGCUGUCUCGAGGUCGAGAGAGGUUGGUGGAAUUCCUAGUGUAGAGGUGAAAUUCGUAGAUAUUAGGAAGAACACCAGUGGCGAAGGCGGCCAACUGGCUCGAUACUGACGCUGAGGUGCGAAAGCGUGGGGAGCAAACAGGAUUAGAUACCCUUGUAGUCCCUGAGCGGGCUGGCAAGGCGCAU